rnacentral:rRNA from 1 species
GCCAAACAGCUAGCUCAACCACCUAAUAACUAAACAAUGUAUAUAAAACAAAAUAAGCCUAACACCAAAAAUUAAACCAUUCUUUUACCUUAGUAUGGGAGACAGAAAAGGUCACACCUGGAGCAAUAGAGACAGUACCGCAAGGGAAAGCUGAAAGAGAAAUGAAAUAACUUAUAUAAGCACAAAAAAGCAAAGAUUAAAUCUUGUACCUUUCGCAUCAUGAUUUAGCCAGUAUACCCAAGCAAAGAGACCUUUAGUUUGAAACCCCGAAACCAGAUGAGCUACCCCGAGACAGCCUAUUAAGGGCCAACCCGUCUCUGUGGCAAAAGAGUGGGAAGAGCUCCGGGUAGAGGUGACAAAUCUACCGAACCUGGUGAUAGCUGGUUGCCUAAGAAGUGAAUAGAAGUUCAGCCUCGUACUCCCCUGAUCAAAGAAUAUAGAGAAGAUGCUAAAGGGCAAUACACGAGAGUUAGUUGAAGGGGGUACAGCCCCUUUAACAAAGGACACAACCUUCCCAGGAGGAUAAAGAUCAUAAUACAUAAAACAUCCUGUUCUAGUGGGCCUAAAAGCAGCCACCUAAACAGAAAGCGUUAAAGCUCAGACAGAAGCGAGUUUAUUAUUCCGACAAAAAAUCUUACUCCCCUUAAUACUAUUAGGCCAGCCCAUGCUCACAUGGGAGAGACUAUGCUAAAAUGAGUAACAAGAAGGCCUGCCCUUCUCCAAGCACAGCUGUAAGCCAAAUCGGACCAACCAUUGGCAAUUAACGAACUCAACCCAAGAGAGCAAUGUGGAUUGCAACAAAACCAAGAAGAGCCCACAUAAGUCCAUCGUUACCCCCACACUGGCGUGCUAUUAAAGGAAAGACUAAAAGAAGGGGAAGGAACUCGGCAAACACAAGCCUCGCCUGUUUACCAAAAACAUCGCCUCCUGCAACGAAACCAAGUAUAGGAGGUCCAGCCUGCCCAGUGACGAUAAGUUUAACGGCCGCGGUAUUUUGACCGUGCAAAGGUAGCGUAAUCACUUGUCUCUUAAAUGGAGACCUGUAUGAAUGGCCAAACGAGGGCUUAACUGUCUCCCCCUUCCAGUCAGUGAAAUUGAUCUAUCCGUGCAGAAGCGGG